rnacentral:rRNA from 1 species
AGUGAACGCUGGCGGUAGGCCUAACACAUGCAAGUCGAACGGCAGCACAGGAGAGCUUGCUCUCUGGGUGGCGAGUGGCGGACGGGUGAGGAAUACAUCGGAAUCUACUUUUUCGUGGGGGAUAACGUAGGGAAACUUACGCUAAUACCGCAUACGACCUACGGGUGAAAGCAGGGGACCUUCGGGCCUUGCGCGAUUGAAUGAGCCGAUGUCGGGUUAGCUAGUUGGCGGGGUAAAGGCCCACCAAGGCGACGAUCCGUAGCUGGUCUGAGAGCAUGAUCAGCCACACUGUAACUGAGACACGGUCCUGACUCUUACGGGAGGAAGCAGUGGGGAAUAUUGGACAAUGGGCGCAAGCCUGAUCCAGCCAUACCGCGUGGGUGAAGAAGGCCUUCGGGUUGUAAAGCCCUUUUGUUGGGAAAGAAAUCCAGCUGGCUAAUACCCGGUUGGGAUGACGGUACCCAAAGAAUAAGCACCGGCUAACUUCGUGCCAGCCGCCGCCGUAA